GAGGUCAUAUUGGUCUUAAGCAUGGUGCACAGCCAGAAUUUCCUUCUCCCCUUGAGAAAACAUAGAUCUUCAUGUGAGGGGACCAUCUAUUCCAAACACAAGGCACCAUUGUUUUUUUUGUUUUUUGUUUUUUGUUUUUUGUUUUUUUUGAGGCAGGUGCCACACUGGAUCAGCAUACUUCAGCUGCAUCAUCCCUGCGGCUUUAAACAGUGAAGUGGUUAAUUUCCAUUGAUGUCUUUGUUUAUAUCAUUUAUCUCUGACCUACCAAAACAGAAUAUUAGACGUUGCUUUAGAACUUGAGGAGAACAUAUCAGCUCGUAACUUGCUUUUUCCAAGUGAAUAGGAAAGCAAAAUGGAACAGUGCCCUACCCAAAAAUAAUAUUUACACAAAACGACUCUCAAUUCUUAGUCUUGUCAAACUUUGCUUCUUUUAAAGUUGAAGUAAGAAAUGAUAGGAAGCUGUAUCUUCACCCUUUUCCAGUUUUAUCAGAGGGAUUGAAGGAAUUGUUGGCAACAGGGAUGCUGUUCACUGAUUGUGGGGAAAACGUUUUGUACUCAGUAUAAUACUGUUUUAGCAAACCAGAGUGUUCUGUUAUAGCAUUUGGUUUUCUAGCUGCACAUCCACCAGAAGAGCACAAACCAAGGCCAUUGCAACAGAUAUUUUAAAAUUAAUAUAAUACAUGCAAAUCCACGCAUACACAUACAUGGGGGUGUUUGUAAAGGUGUCUGUGGGAUGUGAGAUUUGUAACCAGUUAUGGGAAAAGUGAGGUGCCACCACUGUAUACACUCCUAGGAUGAUAUUUACUGAACCAGUAACUUUGACGAUCUGUUACUGUUUGAAUCAUAUGUUGAUUUAAUUCUGGUUUGUGUUUAGUGUGUUUCUCUGAAAAGGGACUGCAAGGGGGCUGGAAGAUUCUGUGUCAUGCAUCCUCGGAGACCUACCAUGUUGCACACUUUGUUAACUACAAACUUCACUCUACACUAUACAGUACCUUGUUGAUAUAUUCAGUAAAGGCUUAUUUUAAAAG
rnacentral:lncRNA from 1 species